UACGGAGGGUGCAAGCGUUGUCCGGAAUCACUGGGCGUAAAGGGCGCGUAGGCGGCUCAUGAAGGCUGUGGUGAAAGUCCGGGGCUCAACCCUCGGAUCGGCCGUGGCGACUCGUGGGCUGGAGCACUGUAGAGGCGGGUGGAAUUCCGGGUGUAGCGGUGGAAUGCGUAGAGAUCCGGAAGAACACCGGUGGCGAAGGCGGCCUGCUGGGCAGUAGCUGACACUGAGGCGCGACAGCGUGGGAGCAACAGG
rnacentral:rRNA from 1 species